AAGUCACAAACACCUCAAAAUGGAAGGAAACCACACAAGUGCAAUAAAACAACAGUAGUCGCUGUGAGUCCCCUUUGUAUCUGGAUUUAAACAUUGAGGUCAAUGUUUAGUUCAAGUGUGGGGGGUUUUUCCUUUCAUGUUUUAUUUCGUUUUCAUUUUGUUCAUGUUUUCCUUCAUCGUUUUUUUUUGCUUUCAUUUUUUUUGUGGUUUACUUGUGUGUACAGAGUGAUGAGAAAUGGUUGGACGAAUCCGGGAUCAAUGGUAGUGGAUGAAUGACACCCCUCAAACUUAGGCUGAUAAGGCACCCCGGAAGUUGAUGCAACCUUGAGAAAAUAAAGUCGGACACAAUUUGGGGACACCGG
rnacentral:lncRNA from 1 species